AAGUCGUAAAGGAUCAUUACAAAUCAUUAUGCUUGCCACCAAUAUUAUUGGGGGUAUAGCACAUGUGCCCGGACUAUUAUCUGCAAGGAUGGUAGUCUGUGACAUUUACGCUUGUUGUGUUUGACAGAGUUUAUAUUACACAUAUAAAAUAGACAACUUUUAACAAUGGAUCUCUUGGCUCUU
rnacentral:misc_RNA from 1 species